CACCCUCCACCUUGACCUGCCCAAACCCUCGGCCCUAACCUGAACCACCCAAUGGGGGAGGGAGCGGUACGCAGUGACAGGCAGAGAACACUAUUGGACGAGGGGAACAUUUCAAUUCAGCUGUCGGCGACAGGUAAUCACGUCUUCUCGCAGUCGAGGACCAUUUCAGAAAAGGGAGAUGGAAUAGAGGCUUGUUUUGUCCACUCCUCACAUUGAUCUGGUAUUGUAGUACCUCCAUAGUUAGGUGCAACUUCCCCAGGAGCACUGUUAAAGUAUUUUGGAGGAGGCACUGACUCAGCCCAGGUGCAGUCCACCUCCUCAGGCUCAGCCAAGGCUACUGAAUCAGGUCCAUCUCCAUCCUCUGCUCCAUCCACUGCGCCCACUGUCUCCUCUGUGUCUGCUGCAACCUCAGCUCUACCUGGUCCAUCUCCAUCCUUUGCUCCAUCCACUGUGUCCACUGUCCCCUCUGUGUUGCAGUUUAUUUAAAACAAAAAAUAAUGAAACGGAUUGUGUUUACAGUAAAUUGGUUUAUUUUGUUACUUUUAGUUGGC